GAGUUUGAUCCUGGCUCAGAAUGAACGCUGGCGGCACGCUUAACACAUGCAAGUCGAACGAGAUCUUCGGAUCUAGUGGCAGACGGGUGCGUAACGCGUGGGAACCUGCCCUUUAGUAAGGAAUAACUCAGGGAAACUUGUGCUAAUACCUUAUAAUCCCUUCGGGGGAAAGCUUUAUGCGCUAAUGGAUGGGCCCGCGUUAGAUUAGCUUGUUGGUGAGGUAAUGGCUCACCAAGGCUACGAUCUAUAGCUGGUCUGAGAGGAUGAUCAGCCACACUGGGACUGAGACACGGCCCAGACUCCUACGGGAGGCAGCAGUGGGGAAUAUUGGACAAUGGGGGCAACCCUGAUCCAGCGAUGCCGCGUGAGUGAUGAAGGCCCUAGGGUUGUAAAACUCUUUCGCCAGGGAAGAUAAUGACGGUACCUGGUAAAGAAGAUCCGGCUAACUCCGUGCCAGCAGCCGCGGUAAUACGGAGGGAUCUAGCGUUAUUCGGAAUAACUGGGCGUAAAGCGAGCGUAGGCGGAUUUGUAAGUUGGAGGUGAAAUCCCAGGGCUUAACCCUGGAACUGCCUUCAAAACUACAUUUCUUGAGUUUGGUAGAGGAGAGUGGAAUUCCUAGUGUAGAGGUGAAAUUCGUAGAUAUUAGGAGGAACACCAGUGGCGAAGGCGACUCUCUGGGCCAAUACUGACGCUGAGGUUCGAAAGCGUGGGGAGCGAACGGGAUUAGAUACCCCGGUAGUCCACGCAGUAAACGAUGAGUGCUAGAUGUUGGGAACAUUAGUUUUCAGUAUCGCAGCUAACGCGUUAAGCACUCCGCCUGGGAAGUACGGCCGCAAGGCUAAAACUCAAAUGAAUUGACGGGGACCCGCACAAGCGGUGGAUCAUGUGGUUUAAUUCGAAGCAACGCGAAGAACCUUACCGGCUCUUGACAUACCAAUCGCGGAUCUAAGAGAUUAGAUCCUUCACUUCGGGUGGAUUGGAUACAGGUGCUGCAUGGCUGUCGUCAGCUCGUGUCGUGAGAUGUUGGGUUAAGUCCCGCAACGAGCGCAACCCUUACCUUCAAUUGCCAGCACGUUAUGGUGGGAACUUUGAAGGAACUGCCGGUGAUAAGCCGGAGGAAGGUGGGGAUGACGUCAAGUCCUCAUGGCCCUUACGGGCCGGGCUACACACGUGAUACAAUGGUGAUUACAAAGGGCUGCUACAGAGCGAUCUCAAGCAAAUCCUUAAAAGUCAUCUCAGUUCGGAUUGCACUCUGCAACUCGAGUGCAUGAAGUUGGAAUCGCUAGUAAUCGUAGAUCAGCGCGCUACGGUGAAUACGUUCCCGGGUCUUGUACACACCGCCCGUCACACCAUGGGAGUUGGUUUUACCUGAAGCUAGUUCGCUAACCGCAAGGAGGCAGCUAACCACGGUAAGAUUAGCGACUGGGGUGAAGUCGUAACAAGGUAACC
rnacentral:rRNA from 1 species